rnacentral:tRNA from 1 species
AGGAAUUAUAAGAAAGUUAUUUUAUUUUUAUAUAUUUAUGUUAUAUAAAUAUAUAUUUUAAUGUCUU